rnacentral:rRNA from 1 species
AGUGAACGCUGGCGGUAGGCCUAACACAUGCAAGUCGAACGGCAGCACAGUAAGAGCUUGCUCUUACGGGUGGCGAGUGGCGGACGGGUGAGGAAUACAUCGGAAUCUACUUUUUCGUGGGGGAUAACGUAGGGAAACUUACGCUAAUACCGCAUACGACCUACGGGUGAAAGCAGGGGAUCUUCGGACCUUGCGCGAUUGAAUGAGCCGAUGUCGGAUUAGCUAGUUGGCGGGGUAAAGGCCCACCAAGGCGACGAUCCGUAGCUGGUCUGAGAGGAUGAUCAGCCACACUGGAACUGAGACACGGUCCAGACUCCUACGGGAGGCAGCAGUGGGGAAUAUUGGACAUUGGGCGCAAGCCUGAUCCAGCCAUACCGCGUGGGUGAAGAAGGCCUCGGGUUGUAAAGCCCUUUUGUUGGGAAAGAAAAGCAGCAGGUUAAUACCCCGCUGUUCUGACGGUACCCAAAGAAUAAGCACCGGCUAACUUCGUG